UCUCUCAUCGGUACAAUGGCUUCUAUUUCAAUGGAGAGGUAAGAGAGUGUAAUGAUUUUUAAAGCUUUAUCUCAAUGGGGCAACCCACCGUAAGCAACUUACAAUUCUUCAACAAAGUGGCUCAACAUCUUGCAGCAAAGGGCACAACCAGAAGAACUCGAAUAGGAAUAUCUUCAAUUGCAUCUUGAUGGCUACGCCCCAAACUCAACCGGUCCGAAUACGUAUUUCUCACCAAUUCGACUUUAUUUUUCUGAUUCUUUGAUGAUGUCAAGAAGAAAUCUCAAGAUAUGAAUAAAAUCAUCGCCGAUCCAGUUUUACAACUUAAAUCAAUGGUAAAGAAUAUCGACAAUGCUUAUUUUGAAAGAUUGUUGUUCAUCGAUUCACAAAAUAACAAUUUCAGCAUACAUAUCGAAAAUACCAGCUCUAGAUUCACGAAUAGGUAGAGAACAAACUAGAAAUAACAAAGCAAGACCAAGCAAUGGGGCAAAAAUGAGUGGCAAAAUCAAACACUGAAGCAAAAAAAGAGGAUCAAGUUCAAACAUUGAAACAAAAUCAAUCUAGACAAUUUCUCUUCAUAUAGAUAUUGUACUUUGACUAGUUAUCUCAAUGUAUAAUGUACUUAUUCUUAUUUAUUGUACAAAUGAAUGAAGUCUGAGCACAAAGUUAGUUUUU